GUAAAAACCCUGAGGCACCUCAAAUUCUCCAAAACUGCUGCUAACUGGAAACAUCAUUGGCACAAGUUUUGUCUACUCAUGAGUGCAAAUAGAGCUUCUGGAAAGGAAGACAUGUAAAAGAUGGGUUUCCAUCUUUACUUACCAGCUUAAUUUCACUGAGGGAACUUCUGUUGAAUGAUCAAAUUGAAAGCUUCUUAAAUGCCCAGGUAAAGUAUAUUGACCAGACACUCAACACAGCAUCCUUACUGAUGUCUUCAAAGAACUUAAGUAGACUUGUGGUGAUUACUUUUCUCCAACAUAUU
rnacentral:lncRNA from 1 species